CAGGCCAACAGGUCGCGCUGGUGCGAGAAGAUGGCGGACGUGGUCGUGGGCAAGGACAAGUGCGGGGAGCAGCGGCUGGUGUCGCUGCCCCUGUCCCGUAUCCGGGUCAUCAUGAAGAGCUCCCCCGAAGUGUCCAGUAUCAACCAAGAGGCGCUGGUGCUCACGGCCAAGGCCACGGAGCUCUUUGUUCAAUAUCUAGCAACCUAUUCCUACAGACAUGGCAGUGGAAAAGAAAGAAAAGCACUGAUUUACAGUGAUUUAGCAAAUACUGCUGAGGAAUCAGAAACUUUUCAGUUUCUUGCAGAUAUAUUACCAAAGAAGAUUUUAGCUAGUAAGUACCUGAAAAUGCUUAAGGAGAAGAGGGAAGAUGAAGAGGCGAAUGAUGGUGAUAAAAGUGACAAUGAUGAAGCUGAGUCCUAAACCACAAAAGAAAUCUGCCUUCAAGGACAUUUCUGGAGAAGCAGGCAUGUCCCGAGUGUUUCUCCCUUCAUUUUCCCAGCGACUGCAGCACCUGCCCUGCUUUUCUGGCAGACAGGCAUCUCCAG